rnacentral:lncRNA from 1 species
UAUCAGCAACAGACAUUAACAGAUAAAGAGGCAUCUGUCCUGCCUCCCACUUUCUUAUUUUCAUUUGCUGCCUUCUUGAAGCAUUUGCUUUUCCAGGAAACACUUCUCUGUUCAGUCUCUGUACUCCACCAACUUCACCUGUGCACUUGCCUUCAUCUUCCCACUACAGCACUGGAACAGGACUUCUGCUUCUGGUCAUCAUGUAGUGACAGAGACUGGACUUAUCUUCCUGCCUUUAACAUCCAGCAGACUGGGCAAAAUACAUGAAAUCGGUGAAAUAGAAAUUAAAAAACACUAUAAAAAUCAAUGAGACAAAAC